UCCGGAUUAGCUCAGUGGUAGAGUAGAUGACUGUUAAUCAUUUGGUCGUAGGUUCGAAUCCUACAUCCGGAGCCA
rnacentral:tRNA from 1 species